AGAGUUUGAUCCUGGCUCAGGAUGAACGCUGGCGGUCUGCUUAACACAUGCAAGUCGAACGGAGUAGAAAUACUUAGUGGCGGACGGGUGAGUAACGCGUGAGAAUCUGCCUUCAGGUUCGGGACAACCACUGGAAACGGUGGCUAAUACCGAAUGUGCAGCAAUGUGAAAAAUUUAUUGCCUGAAGAUGAGCUCGCGUCUGAUUAGCUAGUAGGUGUGGUAAGAGCGCACCUAGGCGACGAUCAGUAGCUGGUCUGAGAGGAUGAUCAGCCACACUGGGACUGAGACACGGCCCAGACUCCUACGGGAGGCAGCAGUGGGGAAUUUUCCGCAAUGGGCGAAAGCCUGACGGAGCAAUACCGCGUGAGGGAGGAAGGCUCUUGGGUUGUAAACCUCUUUUCUCAAGGAAGAAAAAAAUGACGGUACUUGAGGAAUAAGCAUCGGCUAACUCCGUGCCAGCAGCCGCGGUAAUACGGAGGAUGCAAGCGUUAUCCGGAAUGAUUGGGCGUAAAGCGUCCGCAGGUGGCUAUGUAAGUCUGCUGUUAAAGAGUCUGGCUCAACCAGAUAAAGGCAGUGGAAACUACAUGGCUAGAGUGCGUUCGGGGCAGAGGGAAUUCCUGGUGUAGCGGUGAAAUGCGUAGAGAUCAGGAAGAACACCGGUGGCGAAAGCGCUCUGCUAGGCCGCAACUGACACUGAGGGACGAAAGCUAGGGGAGCGAAUGGGAUUAGAUACCCUAGUAGUCC
rnacentral:rRNA from 1 species